CAGCCGUAAACUAUGCGCGUUAGGUGUAUCGGUGACCACGAGUUACCGAGGUGCCGAAGGGAAACCGUGAAACGUGCCGCCUGGGAAGUACGGUCGCAAGGCUGAAACUUAAAGGAAUUGGCGGGGGGAGCACCACAACAGGUGGAGCCUGCGGUUUAAUUGGACUCAACGCCGGGAAGCUCACCGGAUAGGGACAGCAGAAUGAUUGCCGGGCUGAAGACCCUGCAUGACUAGCUGAGAGGAGGUGCAUGGCGUAGUCGUGU
rnacentral:rRNA from 1 species